GCCUUCGUGGUGUAGUGGUUAGCACGCUCGGCGCGUAUUCGAGAGGUCCGUGGUUCGAUUCCCGGCGAGGGCA
rnacentral:tRNA from 1 species